rnacentral:rRNA from 1 species
UACGUAGGGCGCAAGCGUUAUCCGGAAUUAUUGGGCGUAAAGAGCUCGUAGGCGGUUUGUCGCGUCGGCCGUGAAAACUUGGGGCUUAACUCCAGCUUGCGGUCGAUACGGGCAGACUUGAGUUCGGCAGGGGAGACUGGAAUUCCUGGUGUAGCGGUGAAAUGCGCAGAUAUCAGGAGGAACACCGAUGGCGAAGGCAGGUCUCUGGGCCACUACUGACGCUGAGAAGCGAAAGCAUGGGGAGCGAACAGG